rnacentral:lncRNA from 1 species
CUGCCGUGUUGGUUACCAAAGUACACAGGGCUGUCAGGUUCUUAAAGCUCCUUCAUGCAGUUAUAGUCCUUCCAAGGCACUAAAAUCUACUGAGAACCCCAUAGAAGAGGAUGGAGAGUAAUUGUUUUGGAAGGCAAUUGUUAAUCUAAGAACACACUGGUUUAUUAAUUAAAACCAAAAUCCUGUGGGUUAGUGCGGGUUGGAUUUUUUUUCUUGCAAAGCAAAACUGGGUUUGUUGAGUUUUGUAGAAGAGAGAAUGUAGAAAAGUGGCUAAUAGACACACACCUGUCAUCUCUUCAGAACUAAAAUGAGACAGAAGUUCUGCAGCAAGCAGUGAUGGAGUUUGUUUACUCUUCAUCUGUUGUCACCUUCUCUUUUGCGAAUCGUUUUAAAUGAGGAGGAAGUGAGCUGACAAAUGUAUGCAGUCUCAGUGCGGUGUCUCAUCUUUCCCGAUAAGAGCACUAAGAGUGUACAGAUCAGCCAGUAAAAUCAGGUGCUUAAUGCUGAAGUCAGAGGACCUCUUGCAUACAUUUGCAACAAACCCUGCAUUCAGGAAUAAAAACACAGCAGUUUGCACUGUUUUCUCAAGUGUGUUCCGUGCUACACCCCUCACUGGUGACUUGCCUGCUGUUUUGAGUUCCUAUUCUGGAAUAGUAAGUGCAGGAGGAGGAAAGGAAUCACCAAAAAACCCAAAAUAUAACCCACACACUAAAGAAAAAAAAAAGAAAGAAAGCUGUAGAGAUAUAGGAAGAGAGAUAAGAGAGAUUUGGACAGAUCUGGACAAGGGUGCCAUAAAUGUGAAUCAUUAACAGAGAAAAAGGGAGGAAGGAUUAGAAGGAAGGACAAGGGUUAUGGGGAUAUAACCAGAGGAGCCAUUCAGACUGCUAUAUUCUUAGGGAAUAUAGGCUUUUUUUUAAUGUAUUUUUGGAAGGGAUUUAAGCUAGGAAAAGGGCUUGGUUUAAAGUUUGAAGGAGUUUAGUGAUGAUGAAAGAAACAGUAAAAAAAAAUAGGUCAACAGUAGUUCUGCAUAGAACUAUUUAUUUUAUCUGUGUUCUUAUCUUGCGAUGGCAAUAGCUGAAGAUGUCUCAUCAGUACAUGAGGGAUGUGACUGCCACAUCAGUUGCUGCCAUUUCAUCUACAUGCACCUUCCCAGAGGAGUUCUUGUUUUGCUAGUGCCUGAGGCAAGGCAGAGCAACAGCACCGCACCAGGGAGACUUCUGUGGUCCCACAACUGGUCGUCCUCGUGGGGAAGAACUGUGUAAAGCAAAGUGUGUGCAAGUUACUGCCUCCACGCAGCACCAUGUCUUCCUGUCAUUUUGGAUGUCCUGAUCCCUUUCUGGUUUGCCCUCAGGAGCCAAAGGAAUGCUUACCCUUUUCUGUAAGAGAAGCAGGGUUCAGAAGAUUGAUUAUAACAAUAAACUAUGAUUGUGUUUCUGAGAUUUUACAUGUAAACACAAUCUUAAGUGUAAUUGGUUUCAAUGACUUCCA